rnacentral:rRNA from 1 species
AUGAACGCUGGCGGCGUGCCUAAUACCUGCAAGUCGAGCGCACAGACGAGGAGCUUGCUCCUCUGACGUUAGCGGCGGACGGGUGAGUAACACGUGGAUAACCUACCUAUAAGACUGGGAUAACUUCGGGAAACCGGAGCUAAUACCGGAUAAUAUAUUGAACCGCAUGGUUCAAUAGUGAAAGACGGUUUUGCUGUCACUUAUAGAUGGAUCCGCGCCGCAUUAGCUAGUUGGUAAGGUAACGGCUUACCAAGGCAACGAUGCGUAGCCGACCUGAGAGGGUGAUCGGCCACACUGGAACUGAGACACGGUCCAGACUCCUACGGGAGGCAGCAGUAGGGAAUCUUCCGCAAUGGGCGAAAGCCUGACGGAGCAACGCCGCGUGAGUGAUGAAGGUCCUCGGAUCGUAAAACUCUGUUAUUAGGGAAGAACAAAUGUGUAAGUAACUAUGCACGUCUUGACGGUACCUAAUCAGAAAGCCACGGCUAACUACGUG